rnacentral:rRNA from 1 species
CAAUAGCGUAUAUUAAAGUUGUUGCAGUUAAAAAGCUCGUAGUUGGAUUUCUGGUUGGAGCGACCGGUCGGGCAUUGAUUUGUCUGCACUGGAGUCGGUUCUGGCCAUCCUCUUGGAAAGUGCGUCUGUCAUUAAGUUGUCGGGCGUAUGAUCCAGGUCUUUUACUGUGAAAAAAUUAGAGUGUUUAAAGCAGGCCUUCGCCUUGAAUACAUUAGCAUGGAAUAAUAAGAUAGGACUUUGGUCUAUUUUGUUGGUUUGCAGACCGAAGUAAUGAUUAAUAGGGAUAGUUGGGGGUAUUUAUAUUCCGAUGUCAGAGGUGAAAUUCUUAGAUUUUCGGAAGAUAAACUUAUGCGAAAGCAUUUACCAAGGAUGUUUUCAUUA